CAUUUUACACAGUGGCAGUAUCGUAGCCAAUGAGGUUUAUCCGAGGCAUGAUUAUGGCUAAUUGAAAAAAUAAAUUUGCAUACAAAUAUCAAGAAUUUACAUCAAGAAUUUUAAGGUCUUGUGUAAAGUCUUUUAGAAGU